GAUGAACGCUGGCGGCGUGCCUAAUACAUGCAAGUCGAGCGAAUGGAUUAAGAGCUUGCUCUUAUGAAGUUAGCGGCGGACGGGUGAGUAACACGUGGGUAACCUGCCCAUAAGACUGGGAUAACUCCGGGAAACCGGGGCUAAUACCGGAUAACAUUUUGAACCGCAUGGUUCGAAAUUGAAAGGCGGCUUCGGCUGUCACUUAUGGAUGGACCCGCGUCGCAUUAGGUAGUUGGUGAGGUAACGGCUCACCAAGGCAACGAUGCGUGGCCGACCUGAGAGGGUGAGCGGCCACACUGGGACUGAGACACGGCCCAGACUCCUACGGGAGGCAGCAGUAGGGAAUCUUCCGCAAUGGACGAAAGUCUGACGGAGCAACGCCGCGUGAGUGAUGAAGGCUUUCGGGUCGUAAAACUCUGUUGUUAGGGAAGAACAAGUGCUAGUUGAAUAAGCUGGCACCUUGACGGUACCUAACCAGAAAGCCACGGCUAACUACGUGCCAGCAGCCGCCGUAA
rnacentral:rRNA from 1 species